AAUCAACGCUGGCGGCGUGCCUAACACAUGCAAGUCGAACGAGAAGGUGACUUCGGUCACUGGAUAGUGGCGUCCGGGUGAGUAACACGUAGGUAAUCUACCUUCGGGUGGGGAAUAACGUCUCGAAAGAGACGCUAAUACCGCAUAAUGCAGCGGCACCUAAUGGUGAUUAGUUGUUAAAGCGGGGGAUCUUCGGACCUCGCGCCUGAAGAGGAGCCUGCGGCAGAUUAGCUAGUUGGUGAGGUAAUGGCUCACCAAGGCUUCGAUCUGUAGCUGGUCUGAGAGGACGGCCAGCCACACUGGCACUGACACACGGGCCAGACUCCUACGGGAGGCAGCAGUGGGGAAUUUUUGGGCAAUGGGCGAAAGCCUGACCCAGCAACGCCGCGUGAAGGAGGAAAUCCUUCGGGAUGUAAACUUCAUAAGUAAGGAAGAAAGCUGCGGAUCGAAUAAGUCCGCAGUCCGACGGUACCUUACGUAAGCCACGGCUAACUACGUGCCAGC
rnacentral:rRNA from 1 species